CUGCCGUGGGCGCAGGAUACUUGAGUGGAGCUGACCAUAGUACGAGAGGACCUGGUUGGACGCACCCCUGGUGAUCCGGUUGUUACGCCAGUAGCAUAGCCGGGUAGCCAAGUGCGGAACGGAUAACCGCUGAAAGCAUCUAAGCGGGAAGCCGGCCACAAGACAAGGUAUCCCAGGCGCAAGCCUCUAAAGGCCCCUUGUAGACCACAAGGUUGAUAGGCUGGGUGUGGAAGUGCUGCAAGGCACGGAGCUAACCAGUACUAAUAGGCCGUGCGGCUUAGUCAU
rnacentral:rRNA from 1 species